UUUAUUUCGAAAAAUGCAAAAAAAAGUAUGUAAAUGCAUCAUUCGCAUACGCAGUAAAAUAUUUACUUUAGUUAAACAGAAAUCAACUUUUUUUUCUGCUUUUUUUAUAAUAAAUGUGUCAUUUUUCCAUAUUUUUCUCAUUUAAAUAAGUCAAAUAAGUGUUACACAAAAAGAGCUCUUUUUGAUUAUGUGUUGAAGAGCAAUAAUCUAAAGAAAAUGGUUUUAACAAAAAGCAAAUAUUAAAUCAAUCGGACUUCAAAUCAAUUACAUCAACAACAAUGGAUUGAAACAAUGAUUUUCAUCAAAGAAUUCUUUUUCAAUACGAACAUGAAGCAGUAAAAGGCAAAUAAAUGAUUAGACUAUACCUACAUGAAACUACAACAAAAAUCGUAUUUUGCCUUUUUAUUAUAAAAUUAUCAAAAAACGGUCUUAACACAAAGCAAAGGAUUUCCCAGUGCACAAAAAAAGUAAUUCUCUCCUUUUUUCAAGACAUUCAAUUAAAAAACAUUUCUAAUUACAAGGAUCUGAAGACAUAUAUAUAACAGCUCGUUAUAUACCAGCAGCUCUCUAUGAGUUCUUCGUUAACAACUUUUCUCAUCGGGAGACUUUAUUAAUAUAAAAUUUCCACUAUUUUAUUAUCAUCGCCCAUCUAGAAAGAAGGAUGAAAAAAAGACAGAAAUGAAAUUGUGUAAAAAAAAAAAACUUUUCCUGUCUACAUGUUCGAGAAACUUGUUUUUAACGUAUAUAUCUAUAUAUAUAUUAUAUAAGACGCACGAGAACAAGGGAACAAUAAAAAAAAAAUUUUGAAGGAAAAAGUGAAAAAGAAGUGAAAGAAAAUGAUGAAAAGCCAUAUGAAAAAUGAAUAAAGAGGAUAGAGUGAGUCUAAAAGAAAAGGGAUGAGAAUAGGAUUUUAAUGAAUGCGUCGAAAGAAUCCAAGUGCCCUAUGAUAUUCCCUGCAUUUAUACGUUCUCUAAGGACUCUUUAGAGGAGUAUUCUCUCUCGCUCUGUGUAGUAGAGAGAGGAUCAUUUUAUCCGCGCUUCGACUAUAUAUAACAGGACGUUUCCAAUAAUUAUACCGAGUCGAAAAUAUCAGUGGUAAACUCAUCUCUUCAACCCUUUAAUAGCGUCCAAAGUACAAAGCAUAUUGGUUUUUCUAUAUAGGAUAUGCCUCAUAAAAUUGCACACAGAAAAAUCUAGGGUUCAUUAUUUGAGUAUUUUAUAUAUAUAUAUAUAUAUAUAUAUAUAUAUUUUAGUCCCACCCCUUAGUAUAUAUUCGCGCGCCAAUUCUCUAUUUAAAUUUUUUUAAAAUAUUAAAUAAUUUCAUUAAAUUUGUAUUUAAUAAUUUUUUUUUAUUUAACAGCAGAAACUUAUGUAUAUUUUAAUAUAAACAUAAACCUGCAUAUUUUAACUUGCAUCUUAUCUUUUCUAAGAAAAAAAGUCCUUUAAUUAUGAUUACUUUGGUUUAAUUUAUGAAUUUUUGCUAAGA